UGCGAGGGAACACCGGUGGCACAUUCUUUGAACGGCGUAAAGGGAUAUUCCUGUCUCACUAAAAGAGGACGAGGACCCACCCGGACCAGACCUCCACUGUGGGACGCGUCCGGGAGGAAACAACAUCCACGAAACCUAGGACAACUCAACGGAUUUCAAUAAAGUACAUUUAAAUUAAGUAAUACAUUCGUUUAAGAAGGGAUCCAAGUUCUAAGAGAGAACUAGGAAAAGAUUGGGUGUGUUGUAUGUUCGGGAUUUCUCCCUAAGGGUUAGUCCUCUAACUCCCUGACCCUGUAAUUCUGCGGUGACGUUCCCAAUAUAUUAGGGGAGUAUAAGCCAAUUUGCAAAAUGGCUUCAAUAGUGUGUUGUUAUUCUCUUGGACAUUUGUCUUAGAAAUGUGUAUUAAGAAUAUUGGGAAUGUAAUAAUUUGUCAUACAUUGAAUAGUUGUCUGGAUUUCCUGAAUCAGUAAUGCCCUAAACUGUUGUUCUGGUCUGCCCUCCGGUGAUCAUAGAUGGUAUCUCGAUGCAUGGAAGGGACAAUUUGACCGAGAACAGUGAGCCUCACCCCCUCUAACCAGCUGAAGUAAUGGCGACAAUGCUGUUCACUAUGGCCCUGUCCUUCUACCUGAGACCCGAGUCCGAGCCAGCAACAUGUGUACAGAUUCCAGUCAACGCUAUCAACUGCCUUUUCUCUCAGGAGUGCAGCAUGAGUCCGGAGACCGUCCACGUAGAGUGAGCAUGGAGAGAGAUCAGGUCCAAACUUCUCUCAUGCUGCUGGUGCACUAGUCGGAAAAUGGACAAGACAGAAUGGACCAUAAAGGGAGGUGGUGGCGGCGGCUCAGUAUUUUGCUGUCUUAGGAACCCGAAGGAAGAAGAGAAAGUCAAAAGCUCCAGCUGAAAUGUCAUUAUCAGAAACCGCUAGAAGCUACUCUGGCAAUGUAGAUAGCGAGUGGGAGGUGACAGCUUGGCUGUCAACUUUGUUUGGAUCAUAGUCUGUGAACCUUGCAAAAUGGGCUAUGUUGGGACUAUUUGUCCUUGCGUGUGUGUGAUAACAUUGGGGAACUUACAUAAAUUAAAAUGUGUAAUGAAGCAUGUAUCUAACUGUAUGAAGCAAAGGUCUUAAGGUAAACCUUUCUACUGCAAUGGUUUUACAAGUGUAAGCAAUAAAGAUUGCUUCAUUUACUUUGACUUGGAGUCCUUAGUGGUGAAUUUCCAUGAUAGUUCACUCCCCCUCAGAUCGAAAAGUAAUGGACGCAAGUUAGUGAGUUAAAUAUGAAUAAAACUCCCUAUAGUCCACGCUUACAUCUAUCCAAUAUUUUUAAACCCAAGGGGUGAGUGAACUAGUGUAGUGCACACUGAAGGGGAAAGGGUAGGGAUGAAAGAAAACACACGGAGUGAUG